ACAACCUCCCUCUUCCAAGUAUCCAGCGAUCCAGUGAGUCAGGUAAGGGCCCCAAAACAUGUCAGCCAGCCAGAAGAUGAAGUAAAGGCAUUCCACAGAAGGUAGCAUUUACACUCAAUUUGGAAAGGCUACUUUGGAACAAUUACAUGACUGAUUUAUAUUGGUCAUCUCUAAGGACUCUCAGACCACGUUCCCAUCUGUAAAUAGGUACCCCUUCCAGUGUUACUUUCCUCUGGGUCACCACCUACGUGAAGGAGUUGAGAAUUCCACAUUUAUGGGUUGAUAACGUUAUUGACAUUUGGAUCUUUUUGUGGAUCUGUUCCUGGAAAUGAUGUACUUGAAACUCAUUAUAGAUCUUCAUAGAAACUCGACGGAACGUGCCUUGGGCUUUGUGCUCAUCAGCACAUACCGAGUUGACUGCAUAAUUCAUAUCUCUUGUGUCACAUUUAAUGUAUAACAUGU